AUGGUUUCGGCUAUCACUUUAGGAUGGACCCGCGGUGCAUUAGUUAGUUGGUGAGGUAAAGGCUCACCAAGACCGUGAUGCAUAGCCGACCUGAGAGGGUAAUCGGCCACACUGGGACUGAGACACGGCCCAGACUCCUACGGGAGGCAGCAGUAGGGAAUCUUCCACAAUGGACGAAAGUCUGAUGGAGCAACGCCGCGUGAGUGAAGAAGGUUUUCGGAUCGUAAAACUCUGUUAUUGGAGAAGAAUGUAUCUGAUAGUAACUGAUCAGGUAGUGACGGUAUCCAACCAGAAAGCCACGGCUAACUACGUGCCAGCAGCCGCGGUAAUACGUAGGUGGCAAGCGUUAUCCGGAUUUAUUGGGCGUAAAGCGAGCGCAGGCGGUUUCUUAAGUCUGAUGUGAAAGCCUUCGGCUCAACCGAAGAAGUUCAUCGGAAACUGGGAAACUUGAGUGCAGAAGAGGACAGUGGAACUCCAUGUGUAGCGGUGAAAUGCGUAGAUAUAUGGAAGAACACCAGUGGCGAAGGCG
rnacentral:rRNA from 1 species